AAGUGACUGCGGUGUACGACAGGGAGACCAAUUUGCCGAACCGAUAACGAACCCAUGGGAGGCGCGUACCUGGUCUGUUAGGACGAGCCCGCUUCGACGGGAUGUCCGAUCGCAGCCGGCAGCCACCCACCUUGUGAAAGGGUUCGCAGAUCUCUCCCAUCGGCAGUGUUGCGGUUUCUUC
rnacentral:other from 1 species